rnacentral:rRNA from 1 species
UACGAAGGGGACUAGCGUUGUUCGGAAUUACUGGGCGUAAAGCGCACGUAGGCGGAUUUGUUAGUCAGGGGUGAAAUCCCGGGGCUCAACCUCGGAACUGCCUUUGAUACUGCAAGUCUCGAGUCCGAUAGAGGUGGGUGGAAUUCCUAGUGUAGCGGUGGAAUGCGCAGAUAUCAGGAGGAACACCAAUAGCGAAGGCAGCUCGCUGGGACGGUACUGACGCUAAGGCGCGAAAGCGUGGGGAGCGAACAGG